UUCAUUGUGCUGUGGCAUUAUCAGAGUCAGUGAGAUUUGUAUGAGUUGUGAUUAAUGCUAAUUUAAAACUUCUCACCUGGCUCCUAAGGUACAUAUUAGCUUGUCUGUUUUUGACGUUUCUUUGAAUAGAUAAAACAGAA